CAAGGAAUAGUUUAAUUAAAAUUUUAAUUUUGGAGAUUAAAGAUGGAGGUAUUCUUCUUUCCUUGA
rnacentral:tRNA from 1 species